AUACUUACCUGGCACAGGAGUGACUUUGAUCAAGAAGGAAUGUCCUCUCAAGGUGAGGCCUCGGCAUUGCACUUCGCUGAGGUUGACCCUUGCGAUUCUCCCAAAUGUGGAGAACUCGGGUGUAUAAUUUAUGGUAGCGGGGGACUGCGUUCGCGCUAACCCCCA